rnacentral:rRNA from 1 species
AGUCGACGAACCACGCGCGGUGAGUGAGAGUUUCGAUCGUAACUCUGUGUAGAAGACAGUGCGUCGAAUAGGCUGCGCUGACGUAACUUACCAGAAAGCACGGCUACUACGUGCAGCAGCGCGGUAAUACGUAGCUGGCAGCGUGUACAGAAUAUGGGCGUAAAGCGCGCGCAGGUGGUUUCUUAAGUCUGAUGUGAAAGCCCACGGCUCAACCGUGGAGGGUCAUUGGAAACUGGGGAACUUGAGUGCAGAAGAGGAAAGUGGAACUCCAAGUGUAGCGGUGAAAUGCGUAGAUAUUUGGAGGAACACCAGUGGCGAAGGCGACUUUCUGGUCUGUAACUGACACUGAGGCGCGAAAGCGUGGGGAGCAAACAGGAUUAGAUACCGUGGUAGUCCACGCCGUAAACGAUGAGUGCUAAGUGUUAGAGGGUUUCCGCCCUUUAGUGCUGCAGCUAACGCAUUAAGCACUCCGCCUGGGGAGUACGGUCGCAAGACUGAAACUCAAAGGAAUUGACGGGGGCCCGCACAAGCGGUGGAGCAUGUGGUUUAAUUCGAAGCAACGCGAAGAACCUUACCAGGUCUUGACAUCCUCUGACAACCCUAGAGAUAGGGCUUUCCCCUUCGGGGGACAGAGUGACAGGUGGUGCAUGGUUGUCGUCAGCUCGUGUCGUGAGAUGUUGGGUUAAGUCCCGCAACGAGCGCAACCCUUGAUCUUAGUUGCCAGCAUUCAGUUGGGCACUCUAAGAUGACUGCCGGUGACAAACCGGAGGAAGGUGGGGAUGACGUCAAAUCAUCAUGCCCCUUAUGACCUGGGCUACACACGUGCUACAAUGGACGGUACAAAGGGCUGCAAGACCGCGAGGUUUAGCCAAUCCCAUAAAACCGUUCUCAGUUCGGAUUGUAGGCUGCAACUCGCCUACAUGAAGCUGGAAUCGCUAGUAAUCGCGGAUCAGCAUGCCGCGGUGAAUACGUUCCCGGGCCUUGUACACUCCGCCCGUCACACCACGAGAGUUUGUAACACCCGAAGUCGUAGAGGUAA